AUGCGAUAAGUAAUGUGAAUUGCAGAAUUCAGUGAAUCAUCGAAUCUUUGAACGCACAUUGCGCCCCCCAGUAUUCUGGCGGGCAUGCCUGUUCGAGCGUCAUUUCAACCAUCAAGCCCUGCUUGUGUUGGGGUCCUGCGGCUGCCCGCAGGCCCUGAAAACCAGUGGCGGGCUCGCUAGUCACACCGAGCGCAGUAGCACAUCUCGCUCAGGGCGUGCGGCGGGCUCCAGCCGUUAAAGCACCCACCUUUCGCAAGGUUGACCUCGGAUCAGGUAGGAAUACCCGCUGAACUUAA
rnacentral:misc_RNA from 1 species